rnacentral:tRNA from 1 species
AGCGCAGCCUGGUAGCGCACCGUCAUGGGGUGUCGGGGGUCGGAGGUUCAAAUCCUCUC